rnacentral:rRNA from 1 species
CCUACGGGGGGCAGCAGUAGGGAAUAUUGCUCAAUGGGGGAAACCCUGAAGCAGCAACGUCGCGUGGAGGAUGAAUGUUCUCGGAUUGUUAACUCCUUUUGUUAGAGAAGAUAAUGACGGUAUCUAACGAAUAAGCACCGGCUAACUCCGUUCCAGCAGCCGCGGUAAUACGGCGGGUGCAAGCGUUACUCGGAAUCACCGGGCGUAAAGAGCGAGUAGGCGGGAUAGCAAGUCAGAUGUGAAAUCCUAGGGCUUAACCAUAGAACUGCAUUGGAAACUGUUAUUCUAGAGUAUGGGAGAGGUAGGUGGAAUUCUUGGUGUAGGGGUAAAAUGCGUAGAGAUCAAGAGGAAUACUGAUUGCGAAGGCGACCUGCUAGAACAUAACUGACGCUGAUGCGCGAAAGCGUGGGGAGCAAACAGGAUUAGAUACCCCGGUAGUC